AACGUAGGACACAAGCGUUAUCCGGAGUUACUGGGCGUAAAGGGCUCGUAGGCGGCCAACUAAGUCAGACGUGAAAUCCCUCGGCUUAACCGGGGAACUGCGUCUGAUACUGGAUGGCUUGAAUCCGGGAGAGGGAUGCGGAAUUCCAGGUGUAGCGGUGAAAUGCGUAGAUAUCUGGAGGAACACCGGUGGCGAAGGCGGCAUCCUGGACCGGCAUUGACGCUGAGGAGCGAAAGCCAGGGGAGCAAACGGG
rnacentral:rRNA from 1 species